GUUUCAACUUAAAUCAACCCAAUAUAUUAUUCUUUUUGCAUGGACUUUACCAUACCAUGAAUGAGAUAAUGUUUAAAUGAAUAAGUUCCUCAAAUAAUGCUAAAGGAUUAUUAAAUCACUCAUGACACACACAUCUUCGAACUCUUUGAUAUUGUUCUCGAAUUUCGACUUUUACGAGUGAAACUCUCCAACACUUCUUUUUCGUUUAACCCAUCCGGUCUCUGAAAUCCACUAGCUCGACUAAUCAAGAUUCACAACGGGUAAGGCUCCACCAUUAAAUGGAGGUAAAAGCUAAGAGAAAACUCGGUUUGAACCGGAAAAUUACAGAAUGAAAAGCAAAUUGGAAGAACACGAAGCAUGCUUCUGAUAAUGUUGAUGAUAUUGUUCUAUACUCUUUGAGACAAAAAGAGUAAAGAGAUCCUCAGUAUGACUUUCCACAGUGUAUCAAGCUUCCAGCUCCCAAAAAGAGACCAAAAAUGGCAGCACUUCCCAGAGUAGUUUGGCCAAUGUAUCGAAUUUUCAUUAAGCCGGGAACCUUGUAUCUAACAGCCUCAUAUGUCCCAUAAACAGCACCAACAGCGCCACCAAUUGCACCACCGACGGCCACCCCAGCCGUCACACGCGCCAAGCAGCUAUCUCUCGC
rnacentral:misc_RNA from 1 species